CUUAAGAUGAGAUAUCCCAUUCGUUAAGAAGUAACCCCCCUUGAAGACGACGAGGUAGAUAGGGCAGAGGUGGAAGUGUGGCAACACAUGGAGCUGACUGUUACUAAUCGGGUGAGGGCUUGACCAAG
rnacentral:rRNA from 1 species